CUACCACAAUAAUAAGAGGAGUGAAAUGAAACAGCGAUGGAUCCAAAAUAAGAAACAAAAAGUUGAUUUGACAUUUUUUAAGAGCAUUUUAUCAAACACUUUGCCUCCAUUUCCUGUGCAAUCCUAAUCACACUUUCACUUUUCUUCAUUUUCUGGAUUGUUAAAUCCAUCUCAAGGACUGGGAUAUUUCGAUCUUUAAUCGGAGAUAAUAGGAAGCAUGGCUCACACUCUUGAAGGUAUUAAGGGUGGAGGAGGAUCGGUUAAGCUUGGGACCACCGGAACAAUUGGUUCCUUGGUGACAAGGGAGUUGGAUCAGAUCCCUUCUGCACCACACAAGCAGGAUUCUUCGAGAAUUAAACCUCGAACACUUCCUGUAUCGGUUGCUUGUGGUACUACGACUCCAAAAAGACUACAAUCAAGAAAGUCAUUAUCACACGAAGUGAGUAGCAGUGGAAGCAGUAGUAACAAUACAAAGCUUAGAAACUCUGGAGUGUCCCAGAAAACAAAAGCUAAUGGAAGAAAUAACCAUAAGAUACCUAUGCUAGGUUCCGAUAACUUUCCAGUGGAAAGAACUCCAGCCAGGCGAAAAAAUGAUAAAAAGAUAACUAACAUUGUUGAAGUUGUGGACGUAAAAUGUGGGAAUUCAGAUAAGGCUUGGGCUACCCCUUUAACAAGUCGUCUUAAGAAACUUGGUUUCUCAAAGCUCUCUGAGAGCUUUAUCUAAAGCUGAAAUUUUUGUGUCCCGGACUUCAGGUUCCUGUAUCUGAAAGCCGAAGCCCUAUUUGGUCUGCAGUUGUCUGAUACAUCCACCAUUGAGCACAUGCUUGGUAGGAGCUUGCUACUUCCUCUUUUUUUCUUUGUACUUUCUAAUGUAGAUGCAAUUGUAGUAUCUCCAGAAGUUGUGCUAACGGAGGAUCCCAUGUCAGUCAUCUGGGACUUGUUUCUCUGUGACAUGCCUUGGGAAUUCAAUUCGAUCCCACUAAAGUACUGAAUUUCUUGCAUUAUGAGGGAUGCAACUGUCCCUCGGGUGCCAAUUUCUACUGGCGGAAAUUCAGCCAUCUCGAUUGUGUCACUUGUGGCAAGGGUAGCGGACUUAUGCAUGUUUUCUUUGGCUGGUGUCGAGGAGACUGAGAAAUCUUCUGAUUUAAGAUGGGUUGUUUGCGGCUUUGUUGUAGCGGGGAAAUUGCAGAGACUCUGGGGCAUUUUAUUUGGUUUCAACUGAAACUCUUCACCUUAUGUUCAAUAUCUGAUGUGCAUGUUAUAUAAUAGGUCUGUGUUGUUAGGAGAUUGGUUGAUGACAUGAUCACUACAUUCAUGUGCUUGCAGUUAAAACAAUACAAGCUCCUAACUACUGUACCACUCUUUUAACUUCUUUAGCUUUCAUCAACAUGUUCCUAGUACAUGCUAAGUCAUUAUUGGAGACUCUUAUCAGUAUGGAAUGUAUCUUAAAAUGUGACGGGGUUCAUGUGAAAGGUAAAAGUAGGACCAUCCCUUUCAUUGACUUUUUAAGUAAGAUUACCUUGUAUUUUGGAGUGUUAAUUGGAAAGGAAGAGUAGUAGGGUAACUUGCUCAAAAAAGGCAACUAUUUAGUUGGGUGCUUUUCAGGUAUGGGGAAAUGUGGAUGAUUUUAUUAUUGUUAGUUAUGUCUACUUUAUAACUUAGUUGAGUUAUUUCUAUAUGGAGUUCUGCAUUGGUGUGAGGAAAAUCUUUAACAUUAUUUAAGGAAUCUAUAUACUGUAUUUAUCAACAAGGUGUAUUUAUCUACUCCUUAAAAUAGAUAGAGGGAGUGUAUUGUAGUGUCACACAACUCACAUGUACUUUAUUUCACUUGGACUUAACUUCUUGGCAUGACAUUAGAUUCCAUUUCAAAAAAAAA
rnacentral:lncRNA from 1 species